GCUAGUUUGGCAGAGCCUGGUAAUUGCAUCAGACUUAAACCUUUAUUAGCAGAGGUUCAAUUCCUCUCUCUAACA
rnacentral:tRNA from 1 species